GUGAGGGGGUGACUAGUGACAGAGUGAGGGAAGGAAGGGGUGACUAGUGACAGAGUGAGGGAGGUGGUGACUGUUACUAGUCACCACCUCCCUCUGUCACUACUCCCUCCCUCCUCCUGUCACUACUCCCUCCCUUCUUCUGUCACUAGUCACCCCCUCCCUCACUCUGUCACCAGUCAUCCCCUCCCUCACUCUGUCACCAGUCAUCCCUUUCCCUCAC